CCUUAUGCCCCAGAGGAGAUUUCAGACACAUACAUAAAAUUUGCACACAGGCGUAGUCCACACACCAGAAGAAAUCAACCAGGUGUUCACUCAGUUCUACUCGGAACUGUAUGGACACUCCCGUCAGGAACAGCGUUCCCCCAAACGGGAACAGACGGACUUACUGUCGUUCAUGAUGGGCAAAACUCUACCAAGGGUGACCGG